CAGAGUGAGAAAACAGUAUAAAGUAACCCAGAAUAACAAUAAAUCAAUGAGCAGUAUACAGAAUCUAUCAGAUAAAUAGCCUAAAUACAGCAACAGAUGUUAACAAGUGAUACAGCAGCUACAUAGCAUGAAGUGGUAUAGGAAAUAACACAAAAUAAACUGCCUAGCUAAACACAGCAAUAGACUGCCUAGCUAAACACAGCAAUAGACUGCCUAGCUAAACACAGCAAUAGACUGCCUAGCUAAACACAGCAAUAGACUGCCUAGAUAAACACAGCAAUAGACUGCCUAG